GCAGUUGUGACCGAGUGGUUAAGGCGUCUGACUAAAAUUCAGAUUCCCUUUGGGAGCGUAGGGUCGAAUCUUGCCGACAGCG